UCAUAGACAGACAAAUGAUCAUACUUAGGGGGUCGUCUAAUCGUUAGGUCAUAUCUUAGUUAUGCUGUUAUAGGCCAAGGCUGCCGGGGUCCGGAAACAUGAUCACCUGACAGGCCUCUGUCACUCCACUGGGUCAUGGUUUCCUCUCCUCUCCUUUCCUCUCCUCAUCAAGCAGACUAGUUAUGCUGAUUCUUGUAGUUUUUCUGCUUCUCCCCCCUAUAUUUAUUUACAGGUAUCGCCGCCCUCGGAGCUGCAUAAUGACCUCCGGCCCCGCUGAAGUGAUUGUGCAUCAUAUUUUUUGUGUGUGUUUCUGUGCUCUGUGCCUCUCCUCUCCUCUCCUCUCCUCUCCUCUCCUCUCCCCCCCCUUCUCCUUUUCCUCUCCCUCUCCUCUUCUUUCCUCUCCUCUUUCCCCUCCUCCUCCUUCUCCUUCUCCUCUCCUCUACCUCCCCUUCACUCUACUUCUCCUCUCCUCUACCCCUCUCCUCUCCUCUCCUCUCCUCUCCUCUCCUCUCCUACCUAUCCUAUCCUCUACCUGUCCUCCCCCUUCUCCUCUCUCUUUACCCAGCCGGCCAUCAGCAGGAGGGUCCUCCUACAUGAGCCUGGUCCUGCUCAAGGUUUCUUCCUGUUAAAGGGGAGUUUUUCCUUGCCACUGUUGCUUGUCUGGGGUCAGGCCCUGUGAUUCUGGAAAGCGCCUUGAAACAAUUUAGAUUGUAUAAGACGCUAUAUAAAUAAAGAUUGAUUGAUUGAUUGAUCCACAGGGCCUCAUCCACCUGGCCAGCAGGACCGCCGCUUUUAUAAUACAGUUUGUACAGAGGUUUUUAACAGGGCCGGUAAACCUGAUGUGGAGAGAUGUGGCCAGAUGUGUCUUCAGACGGGGAACCCACGGUGCACGGAGCCAGGCUGGACGUCUCGGCCGAAGCCACGCCGAGGCUGACGGCUGCACUGUGGUGGACCCGUACCUUACUCCUCCAGCACGUAGUGGCCGUGGCAGGGCCAGACCUAACGGGCGCAGAGGCAAUGGGUUCCCUGUUAGGCAUCCGCUCUACCCAGGCAGCUGAGGGGGUGCUUCGGCUAUGGAGGAACAGACUCAGCACGAGAGAGAGGCACAUCCUUGAGGACUACGGCCAGGGGACCGAACCCGACAGCGAGGACCCCUUCCCGGAGAUCAGGCUGGUUGCCCACCUCGGGAAUCUAGACGGUCCUCUCCUCAGACCAGCAAAGAUCUUCUCCCUGGUAGCAGUCGAUAAGAAGACCCUAUACAACGACUGUGUGAGGGUACUAAACAGGAGAGGACUGUCGAACAGGAGCACCAGCGUGUGGGCUGAUCGACUGGGAGGGGAUGGAGCCCGCCCCUGCUGGCGGGUCCUUUACAAGCCGCCCUUGAAGAAGAGAACCGGAGACCUCCAAUGGAGGAUCUUACAAGGGGCCGUCGCCCUGAACGCUCUUCUCUCCAGAAUGAACACUGCUGUGUCGGACCAGUGCCCAUUUUGUUCCAAGUGAGAGACUGUGUAUCAUGCGUACAGUGAAUGCGAGAGGCUCGCUGUGCUUUUUAACACCAUGAAAACUGUUUUUAAUGGUUUUAACAAACCCUUUUCGAUAAAAGCUCUUAUUUAUGGUGCAGGGUACAACAAAGCUGCUAACAAGUGGCAGCUCCUUAAUUUUAUUUGCGGAGAAGCCAAAAUGGCUAUAUACAUAUCAAGGGGGAAAAAAACUGCUAAAUCUGGGGAUUGUGAGGCCGCCUCUGUGUGGCACUGUAAUGUCCGUUGUAGGCUGAGGUGGGAGUUUGCCUUUUAUAAAAUGAUAAAUGACCUCAGCCAAUUCCGCAAUGUAUGGUGCCUCCAAGGUGUAUUAUGCACUGUCGCAGAGAACCAUUUGGUUUUUGCACAACCCCUAGUGGGAUGAAUUGUAUUUGCUAUUCCCUAAUAUUUAUCUAUUUAUUUAUUUAUUCUGUGUGUUUUUUAAGCAGGGCGUUUUUGUGUCCCUGUGUAAUUUGUAAAUAAAGUGUUUUUGUAAAAAUCAAAAAUCUCUUCUCUUCUCUUCUCCUCCUCAUCAAGUAGACUAGUGAUGCUAUUUUUCUGCUUCUUCUCCCCCCCUUCUGUAUUCAUCUAGAGCAGCGGUCACCAACCUUUUUAAAGCUGAGGGCUGCCUUAAGAUUCCCAAAUGGCUUGAGAGCUACCAGCUCAAAACAUAUGUACAAACAAAUCAAGAAAUCAAAAACAUUCAAUACUGUAUUCACACAAAAAAACAAUACAGUGAUCCCUCGUUUAUCACGGGAGUUGCGUUCCAAAAAUAACACGCGAAAAGAGAAAUCCGCGAAGUAGUCAGCUUUAUUUUUUU
rnacentral:lncRNA from 1 species